rnacentral:snoRNA from 1 species
CGCCUUGGUGCUGCCCUUUCACUUUGGAAACUAGCGAGCAUGGCGUCAAGCAAGGUGUAGAGCAAGGGUUUCCCGCCCCGUGACCUGCGGUCUCUGUCAAAGGAACUGCA